rnacentral:rRNA from 1 species
GACGAACGCUGGCGGCGUGCUUAACACAUGCAAGUCGAACGAUGAAACCUAGCUUGCUAGGUCGAUUAGUGGCGAACGGGUGAGUAACACGUGACUAACCUGCCCCUUUCUCUGGGAUAACGCUCCGAAAGGAGUGCUAAUACAGGAUACUCACACCGAGGCACAUGCCUUGGUGUGGAAAGUUUUUCGGAAAGGGAUGGAGUCGCGGCCUAUCAGCUUGUUGGUGAGGUAACGGCUCACCAAGGCGACGACGGGUAGCCGGCCUGAGAGGGCGACCGGCCACACUGGGACUGAGACACGGCCCAGACUCCUACGGGAGGCAGCAGUGGGGAAUAUUGCACAAUGGGCGCAAGCCUGAUGCAGCGACGCCGCGUGAGGGAUGAAGGUCUUCGGAUUGUAAACCUCUUUCAGUAGGGACGAAGCGAAAGUGACGGUACCUAAGGAAGAAGCACCGGCUAACUACGUGCCAGCAGCCGCCGUAA